rnacentral:rRNA from 1 species
UACGUAGGGCGCGAGCGUUGUCCGGAAUCAUUGGGCGUAAAGAGCUCGUAGGCGGCCAGUUGCGUCCGCUGUGAAAUCCCGGGGCUCAACCCCGGGCGUGCAGUGGAUACGGGCUGGCUAGAGGCAGGCAGGGGAGAACGGAAUUCCCGGUGUAGCGGUGAAAUGCGCAGAUAUCGGGAGGAACACCGGUGGCGAAGGCGGUUCUCUGGGCCUGUACUGACGCUGAGGAGCGAAAGCGUGGGGAGCGAGCAGG